rnacentral:rRNA from 4 species
GAAGGUGUGUCGUGAGGCAUGCUGGAGGUAUCAGAAGUGCGAAUGCUGACAUAAGUAACGAUAAAGCGGGUGAAAAGCCCGCUCGCCGGAAGACCAAGGGUUCCUGUCCAACGUUAAUCGGGGCAGGGUGAGUCGACCCCUAAGGCGAGGCCGAAAGGCGUAGUCGAUGGGAAACGGGUUAAUAUUCCCGUACUUGGUGUUACUGCGAAGGGGGGACGGAGAAGGCUAUGUUGGCCGGGCGACGGUUGUCCCGGUUUAAGCGUGUAGGUGUGUGUUCCAGGUAAAUCCGGUUCACUUUAACACUGAGGCGUGACGACGAGGCACUACGGUGCUGAAGCAACAAAUGCCCUGCUUCCAGGAAAAGCCUCUAAGCAUCAGGUAACAUCAAAUCGUACCCCAAACCGACACAGGUGGUCAGGUAGAGAAUACCAAGGCGCUUGAGAGAACUCGGGUGAAGGAACUAGGCAAAAUGGUGCCGUAACUUCGGGAGAAGGCACGCUGACACGUAGGUGAAGUGAUUUACUCAUGGAGCUGAAGUCAGUCGAAGAUACCAGCUGGCUGCAACUGUUUAUUAAAAACACAGCACUGUGCAAACACGAAAGUGGACGUAUACGGUGUGACGCCUGCCCGGUGCCGGAAGGUUAAUUGAUGGGGUCAGCGCAAGCGAAGCUCCUGAUCGAAGCCCCGGUAAACGGCGGCCGUAACUAUAACGGUCCUAAGGUAGCGAAAUUCCUUGUCGGGUAAGUUCCGACCUGCACGAAUGGCGUAAUGAUGGCCAGGCUGUCUCCACCCGAGACUCAGUGAAAUUGAACUCGCUGUGAAGAUGCAGUGUACCCGCGGCAAGACGGAAAGACCCCGUGAACCUUUACUAUAGCUUGACACUGAACAUUGAGCCUUGAUGUGUAGGAUAGGUGGGAGGCUUUGAAGUGUGGACGCCAGUCUGCAUGGAGCCGACCUUGAAAUACCACCCUUUAAUGUUUGAUGUUCUAACGUGGACCCGUUACCCGGGUUGCGGACAGUGUCUGGUGGGUAGUUUGACUGGGGCGGUCUCCUCC